rnacentral:rRNA from 1 species
ACAGCCAGGAUGUUGGCUUAGAAGCAGCCAUCAUUUAAAGAAAGCGUAAUAGCUCACUGGUCGAGUCGGCCUGCGCGGAAGAUGUAACGGGGCUAAACCAUGCACCGAAGCUGCGGCAGCGACACUAUGUGUUGUUGGGUAGGGGAGCGUUCUGUAAGCCUGUGAAGGUGUGCUGUGAGGCAUGCUGGAGGUAUCAGAAGUGCGAAUGCUGACAUAAGUAACGAUAAAGCGGGUGAAAAGCCCGCUCGCCGGAAGACCAAGGGUUCCUGUCCAACGUUAAUCGGGGCAGGGUGAGUCGACCCCUAAGGCGAGGCCGAAAGGCGUAGUCGAUGGGAAACAGGUUAAUAUUCCUGUACUUGGUGUUACUGCGAAGGGGGGACGGAGAAGGCUAUGUUGGCCGGGCGACGGUUGUCCCGGUUUAAGCGUGUAGGCUGGUUUUCCAGGCAAAUCCGGAAAAUCAAGGCUGAGGCGUGAUGACGAGGCACUACGGUGCUGAAGCAACAAAUGCCCUGCUUCCAGGAAAAGCCUCUAAGCAUCAGGUAACAUCAAAUCGUACCCCAAACCGACACAGGUGGUCAGGUAGAGAAUACCAAGGCGCUUGAGAGAACUCGGGUGAAGGAACUAGGCAAAAUGGUGCCGUAACUUCGGGAGAA